rnacentral:rRNA from 1 species
AUUGAACGCUGGCGGCAGGCCUAACACAUGCAAGUCGAACGAGUGGCGGACGGGUGAGUAAUGUCUGGGAAACUGCCUGAUGGAGGGGGAUAACUACUGGAAAAGGUAGCUAAUACCGCAUACCAUCAGAUGUGCCCAGAUGGGAUUAGCGUGUUGGUGGGGUAACGGCUAACAAAGGCGACGAUCCCUAGCUGGUCUGAGAGGAUGACCACCCACACUGGAAGUGGGACAGGGUCCAGACUCCUACGGGGGGCGGCAGUGGGGAAUAUUGCACAAUGGGCGCAAGCCUGAGGCAGCCAUGCGGCGUGUAUGAAGAAGGCCUUCGGGUUGUAAAGUACUUUCAGCGGGGAGGCGUUACCCGCAGAAGAAGCACCGGCUAACUCCGUGCCAGCCGCCGCGGUAAUAC